rnacentral:lncRNA from 1 species
GGGGCACUGAUGAGAUCCCACAGAGGGAUCAAUGUUAUGUUAAUGUAUAUGCUCAGGUUGAGUUUGGUUGAUGUAUAUGGAAAGAAAAAUUUUAAUUUUUAUGUAUGUUGUUGAUCAUGUAUGGGAUUAUACAGGUUUACAGGUUAGAUGUCAGGCUUGCUACGGGUCCCGGCGGCCUUAAGCCGAUCUGGAUCCUAGCGCCGGUAG